GACAGAGGUGCCGAGCGUUAGGCGGAAUCACUGGGCUUAAAGCGUGUGUAGGCGGGCGACUCAAGUACCUUGUGAAAUCCCACGGCUCAACCCGUGGAACCGCUGGGUAUACUGGUUGUCUUGAGCCGGCUAGGGGCGAGCGGAACAGACGGUGGAGCGGUGAAAUGCGUAGAGAUCGGAAAGAACACCAACGGCGAAAGCACUCUGCUGGGCCGACACUGACACUGAGAGACGAAAGCUAGGGGAGCGAAUGGG
rnacentral:rRNA from 1 species